GGACCUUCUGCACUGCAUCUUCUUUAUCCUUCAGUUAGAGCUUCCUGUACACCUAAAAUCUUAACAUAAGCUAAGAUUUGUUCUUUCCUGUUGUAAUACCAAUGUUCACGUCAGAAAUUUAGACAAAUAAUAUCUUUUGGAAAUGAGUUCAAAAAUAAAUCGUUGUAAGCUUAAAGCGGACAAUAUUAUACUAAUCGGUAGAAAUAUAUUUGGACAUCAUCUUAUAAAUCUCAACAUUUCCAAAGAGUGUAAUCUAUUUUCCCAUCAUAGUUAUAUUUGUACUCUUCCCAUCAAAGUGCAAGCUUGCCAAUUGCCAUCAUCUGGUAUUCUGGUUAGUGAAUAGAACCCAGCUUUAACAAUGUAGUCUGCUUCUUGAGUUGGGUUGGAUUUCCUGUUGGCCUCACAGCCCAGUAAGAUAUAUUGCAUGAGUCAUUCUAAUGAGCUUUUAAAAUUGGCAGAGACAAACGCAAAAGAUAUAAAUAUAUAACUGUUACCUUUUUUAUUAAAAGUGAUAAGAUGAUAUAUUGAUAUGCUUGUUCUUCUUCAUUGAGGUGUUAUUCAUCUCAUGAAACAUUAUAAUUAAAGACUGAUUAUUAUUUCCAUGAUUGUACGGUUUAAGCUUUAUUACAUAUAUAUAUAUAUAUAUAAUUAUUUUACCAAAAUAUGUGUUCAAAAUGAUCUCUACAAAUUUUUAUUUUAUCUUGUCAUCUAAGGUAAUUUUUAUUAAUAUACUUCCAACUAAGAGAUUUGUAUGACUGGUACUGUAGGGUUACGCUUUGUGAUUUCUUUCAUAUAAGGUGAUUAGCACUUGCCUGUUUGGUAUUUCACCAGGAAGUUCCAUAAAACGAACUGCACGUUCUUUAUAACUAGCAAAGACAGACUGGAAAUAAACACUUAGAAAUUAGAAAUUGAAUGAAAGAAAAGCUAAUUCACAUUUCCACGAGAUCAUAGAUAUGGAAUCAACACGAUCUAACAAUGAUAUGGUAUCAAGCGUAACCCUGCAGUAUCUAUUUUUAGUUAAAAAUAGAUAUUGGAAAACAAAGUUUUGGCAAAAACCGAAAGAGGGUUGGGACUGAGGGAUGGAAACAUUACAACUAGAGCGUCAGCAAGGAUAUCGUGGGCAAACUGUUGCCUUCCAAAAGCCGAAGGAGGGUUGGGACUGAAGGAUCUCAUCUUAUGGAACAAAACUCUGAACCUGAAGCUCAUCUGGUUCCUGUUCCAAGAGAAUGAGUCCUUGUGGGCUUCCUGGUGUAAAGAACAUCGUUUAAAAGGAGUCAGUUUAUGGAGCCUCGAAGAGAACAAGCAAGGAUCAUGGAUUUGGAAAUCAAUAUUAAAAUUGCGUCACCUUGCUGUUCGGUUUCUUAGAUGCAACGUUGGGAAUGGUCGCUCAGCUAGCUUCUGGUAUGACCAAUGGACUCCAUUGGGACCUCUCAUCAACGUCCUCGGCCACUCGGGCCCUCGGGCAUUAGGAAUCCCACUUCACUCGUCAGUUGCUGAAGCCUGUACAGAUAUAGGAUGGAGGCUCAGACAUGCCAGAUCACCUGCAGCAGAAGCUCUCCAGCUUCAUCUAUGCACGGUACCUCUCCCUUCUACCUCUACUACCUCUGAUGCUUAUGUGUGGGAAGUAGAUAAUGAGGUUGUAGAGGCUUUCUCAUCGAAGUCAACCUGGGAAGCUAUCCGCAACAGAAGAGAACCGCAGUCAUGGACUAAAAACAUUUGGUUUAAAGGUGCUAUACCUAGUCAAGCUUUCAUGAUGUGGAUGACGCAUCUUAACCGUCUUCCCACAAGGGAACGCACUUCCAUAUGGGCUGUAAACACACUUGAUGCAUGUUGUGUUUGCAAUGUGUACUUGGAAUCAAGAGACCAUCUCUUCCUGCGGUGUGAGAUCAAUGAAAACCUUUAGCUGCUAGUGCUUCGAAGACUGGGCUAUAACCCCUUCUGGUUUCAUACUUGGACGGCUUUUACGGAGUGGCUUGGACACAGAAACAAUGUUUGCCCGAUCACGCUUCGCCGGCUUGCGGCUCAAGCGACUAUUUAUUCUAUCUGGUGGGAGCGGAAUAACAGACUGCACAACUCGAUCUCCACCCCGGUCUAAAUUACCUUCAAAAAGAUUGACAGGCUUGUUCGCAACUCCAUCACUGCAAGGUAGAACCGCAAGAAGUUUAAAAAUCUAAUGGAACUUUGGCUGAAGUAUGAAUGAACACCCCAAGCCACCAUAAUCACUUGUAAUCGUUUUCUGUUUUUCCUUUUUUUUGUCAGAGGAAGAUUACCCCGCUUAACUUUUUUGUAUUUACAAACCUUCUCAUUUUUUUAAUGAAAUUCACAUACUUAGCAAAAAAAAAAAAAAAUUUGGCAAAAGGGAAAGCUUGAUAAGCAGAUGCACAAGCAUGGCCAUCUAAUAAAUUCAAAAAAGGAAACAUAUGCAUGAUACCGCACUUAUCACGGAAAUUAAAUAAUACCUAACACUUAAACUCAAAAAAAAAAUAUAUAUAUAUAGCAUGACUGAAAUUAAAAAAAACUGUAUAUAAAUUAUUACAAGAAUACGAAGAAAAUUAGGUCCAGUGAUACUGAUAAUGCCAAACUGUAUUCUAAGUAGAGUUGUCCCUUUGUGUCUAGUGCGCUUGUGAAUUAUAUAAAUGUGAAUAUAAAUUCCCAUAGCAUCUUUAUUUCUUUAUCCGUACAUGCCACAUGUUCACAUGUCAUCUUUGGGAAAGUUUCCUUUCAUAAAAUACUUCAUAUGUCGCUUUAUGUCUUAUUUUAUCUCUGUGUAUUUGUUUGCGUAUAUUACCAUUUUAAUAAUCAGUCUAUUUGGAUAAAUUGGACUAUGGGGGAAACAUAACCAAAUUAACUGACCUCGGUAAAAUGCAAGAGGCUUUGAUCGAUGCGAAUACUUUUAAGUUUAGCCUAGAGUGCUUAAACCUCCCAAAAUGAAUUAUCUUGAAGAAAGCGUCGUCAUCUCUUUUCGUAUGAUCUUUGUCACGUUAGUAGUGGACUUC
rnacentral:lncRNA from 1 species